ensembl:rRNA 5S_rRNA 5S ribosomal RNA
AACUGUGUAAUGAAUGCACCAAUCUCAUCUGAUCUUGGAAGCUAAGCAGGUUUGGGCCUGGUUAGUACUUGGAUGGGAGACUGCCUGGGAAUAUCAGAUGCUACAGGUU